GGCACGCAAAUUACCCAAUCCCAGCAACUGGGGGAGGUAGUGACGAAAUCUAACGAUGCGGGCGCCCUUUUUGGGGCCCCGCAAUCGGAAUGAGCACUUUCUAAACAACCUGUUGAGAACCUACUGAAGGGCAAGUCUGGUGCCAGCAGCCGCGGUAAUUCCAGCUUCAGUAGCAUCUAUUAAAGUUGCUGCGGUUAAAAGGCUCGCAGUUGAAUGUCAGUAUCGAGCGCAGGUCAGGUGGACGCUGGGGGGUGGGAACACAAGGCGUGGCACGGGCCCUUGCCUCGCGCUUGUGGUACCGGCCGUGUCCCUCACAUACCCCCGUCCGUUACAAGCCUCCUCGCUCGCGUACAUAUCGGAAUUGGUCAAACGGAGUGUGCGCAGUCCCUCUGCUCUCGUCCUCAGGCCGCGUUCGCGCGUGUCGGUUGGCGUUGGGUGUGGGGGCUCGCACGGUAAGCUCCUUCGGUUCCAUGGUCACCUUGAGUAAAUCAGAGUGCUCAAAGCAGUCGUAGGGGCCUUGCGCCCUGUGAACAGUCUUGACGGACUGACUUGGUUUUGCAUGGCAUGUCGGAAGACGACGUCGUGUGCUGGCUCAGAGAUAUAUCAGUGGUGCAAGCCAGCCUCGACGUACUGAUUAACAGGGACGGUCGAGGGCAUUGGUAUUGCGAGGCGAGAGGUGAAAUUCUAUGACCCCCGCAAGACCUCCUGAAGCGAAAGCGUCUGCCAAGGACG
rnacentral:rRNA from 1 species